GUAGAUAUAGCUCAACUGGUAGAGCGCUAAAUUGUGGCUUUAGAGGUUAUAGGUUCGACUCCUAUUAUUUACCC
rnacentral:tRNA from 1 species